rnacentral:rRNA from 1 species
AGUGAACGCUGGCGGUAGGCCUAACACAUGCAAGUCGAACGGCAGCACAGUAAGAGCUUGCUCUUACGGGUGGCGAGUGGCGGACGGGUGAGGAAUACAUCGGAAUCUACUUUUUCGUGGGGGAUAACGUAGGGAAACUUACGCUAAUACCGCAUACGACCUACGGGUGAAAGCAGGGGAUCUUCGGACCUUGCGCGAUUGAAUGAGCCGAUGUCGGAUUAGCUAGUUGGCGGGGUAAAGGCCCACCAAGGCGACGAUCCGUAGCUGGUCUGAGAGGAUGAUCAGCCACACUGGAACUGAGACACGGUCCAGACUCCUACGGGAGGCAGCAGUGGGGAAUAUUGGACAAUGGGAGCAAGCCUGAUCCAGCCAUACCGCGUGGGUGAAGAAGGACUUCGGGUUGUAAAGCCCUUUUGUUGGGAAAGAAAAGCAGCAGGUUAAAACCCCGCUGUUCUGACGGUACCCAAAGAAUAAGCACCGGCUAACUGCGUG